UCCUGAACCUUUUUGACCUUGAAAACAGUUCACUGAACAAAAACAACUCUUGUAACUUGUGAAAUGUUAUGUUGAGAAAUAAACUUUGGAAAAUGAUUCCUUAAGGAUAUCAGCAUAAUAAAUAGCUCUAUUGAUUUAAAGAAAGGGUAAAAGCAUUUGAAGAGCAUGGAGAAUGUGUUUUUGUGCCAUUGCGUGCUAUUUCUUAGGCUCUUCUUUUGAAAGUGCCAUGAAAAUGUGGCUGCAGGAAGGGUUUCCCACUUUUACAUACGUGCAUUACUACUCAUGCUGGGUAUAUACAAUCUUGGUAUGAUUUAUAAAUAGAUCUCUAAAUGAUGACUAGCUAGGGAAUAAAUCGAGC
rnacentral:lncRNA from 10 species